rnacentral:rRNA from 1 species
AUUGAACGCUGGCGGCAUGCUUUACACAUGCAAGUCGAACGGUAACAGGCCGCAAGGUGCUGACGAGUGGCGAACGGGUGAGUAAUGCAUCGGAACGUGCCCAGUCGUGGGGGAUAACUACUCGAAAGAGUAGCUAAUACCGCAUACGAUCUAUGGAUGAAAGCGGGGGACCGUAAGGCCUCGCGCGAUUGGAGCGGCCGAUGUCAGAUUAGGUAGUUGGUGGGGUAAAGGCUCACCAAGCCAACGAUCUGUAGCUGUCUGAGAGGACGACCAGCCACACUGGGACUGAGACACGGCCCAGACUCCUACGGGAGGCAGCAGUGGGGAAUUUUGGACAAUGGGCGCAAGCCUGAUCCAGCAAUGCCGCGUGCAGGAAGAAGGCCUUCGGGUUGUAAACUGCUUUUGUACGGAACGAAACGGCUCUGGUUAAUACCCGGGGCUAAUGACGGUACCGUAAGAAUAAGCACCGGCUAACUACGUG